AACCCCUACUUGUUAGUUGCCAUCAUUCAGUUGGGCACUCUAGCGAGACUGCCGGUAAGUAAACCGGAGGAAGGUGGGGAUGACGUCAAAUCAUCAUGCCCCUUAUGACCUGGGCUACACACGUGCUACAAUGGUUGGUACAACGAGUUGCGAGUCGGUGACGGCGAGCUAAUCUCUUAAAGCCAAUCUCAGUUCGGAUUGUAGGCUGCAACUCGCCUACAUGAAGUCGGAAUCGCUAGUAAUCGCGGAUCAGCACGCCGCGGUCGAAUACGUUCCCGGGCCUU
rnacentral:rRNA from 1 species